CACGUAGGGUGCGAGCGUUGUCCGGAAUUAUUGGGCGUAAAGAGCUCGUAGGCGGUGUGUCGCGUCGGCCGUGAAAACCUGGGGCUUAACUCUGGGCUUGCGGUCGAUACGGGCAUCACUGGAGUUCGGCAGGGGAGACUGGAAUUCCAGGUGUAGCGGUGAAAUGCGUAGAUAUGCGGAGGAACACCAGUGGCGAAGGCGGCCACCUGGACCGUCCCUGACGCUCAAACACGAAAGCUAGGGUAGCGAACGGG
rnacentral:rRNA from 1 species